CCUACGGGUGGCAGCAGUGGGGAAUAUUGGACAAUGGGCGAAAGCCUGAUCCAGCCAUGCCGCGUGUGUGAAGAAGGCCUUCGGGUUGUAAAGCACUUUCAGUGGGGAAGAAAGCCUUGGGGCUAAUACCCUCGAGGAAGGACAUCACCCACAGAAGAAGCACCGGCUAACUCCGUGCCAGCAGCCGCGGUAAUACGGAGGGUGCGAGCGUUAAUCGGAAUUACAGGGCGUAAAGCGCGCGUAGGCGGUCUGAUAAGCCGGUUGUGAAAGCCCCGGGCUCAACCUGGGAACGGCAUCCGGAACUGUCAGGCUAGAGUGCAGGAGAGGAAGGUAGAAUUCCCGGUGUAGCGGUGAAAUGCGUAGAGAUCGGGAGGAAUACCAGUGGCGAAGGCGGCCUUCUGGACUGACACUGACGCUGAGGUGCGAAAGCGUGGGUAGCAAACAGGAUUAGAUACCCUAGUAGUC
rnacentral:rRNA from 1 species